rnacentral:lncRNA from 1 species
AGAGCUUCUUCAAGGCUCUCAUGUGCUCCUCUGGUCCCAGCCCUUGUUUUGGUCUCAUCCACAGAGAGGGAAAGGUGAGCAGGGCCUGCCCGGUCCAUCAGGACCCAAGGGAGAGAAGGGAGCCCGGGGCAAUGACUGUGUACGAAUCUCCCCGGACGCCCCGCUUCAGUGUGCAGAAGGCCCAAAGGGAGAGAAGGGGGAGUCGGGAGCCUUGGGACCCUCAGGACUCCCUGGCUCCACAGGCCAGAAGGGCCAGAAAGGCGAGAAGGGAGACGGAGGCAUCAAGGGCUCGCCAGGAAAGCCAGGCCGAGAUGGCCGGCCAGGAGAGAUCUGUGUCAUGGGGCCCAAAGGGCAGAAGGGAGACCCUGGCUUUGUUGGGCCUGAGGGGCUGGCGGGAGAGCCUGGGCCCCCUGGCCUCCCUGGGCCCGCCGGGAUAGGACUUCCUGGGACCCCGGGGGACCCAGGUGGCCCUCCAGGCCCCAAGGGAGACAAGGUAAGCACAAACAGGAACAGGGGCACAUGCGGGAGGCCCCCUGCUGAGUGGGAGGAGAGAGGAGAAUGG